UUGACCAUGACAAUUGGCUCAACCUAAUGAACUGAGAGAACGUCAAUGCUGGGACACUCAUCACAAUGCCUUUGCAAAUAAUAGAGACCACCUUAUUAGAAGCAGGUAACUUCUCCUUGUCACAAUGGCAGCAAUCUUCCCAAUGAAAAAUGGAGUAUUAGAACUCUUUAUUAGAACCACACAUGUUCUUAAGGAGCUCCCUAGGGUGCAAAGAAACCAAGGGGCAAGAUGAGACCAAACAUCCAAGUGGAAGGAGAACCACAUCUGGAGUCUCUGUUUCAAUAUAGACCAUGCCACUGCUCUUUCCACUGCCAGAGAAUGUACAGAAUCCCCGAGCCUAUGAUACCAUGGAGAUAGCACACCCAGAAAGCCUCAAUGAGAUGUUCUAGCCUGUCCAGAAGUCUUGUUCUAGAGCCACUCAGAGAACAUGUGAUCACUUCCUACUUCCACCAAGAGCAAUUGCUUCUACAGAAUUCAGGGAAGCCAACAACCAGGCAAAA